rnacentral:rRNA from 1 species
GAGGCCUAACGGCGUAGCCGAUGCACAGACGGUAGAGAUUCCGUCACCACCAAAAGAGUUAAGCACAGGGACACAUAUGAAGUCUCGGAGCCGGGUGUUGGUUCCGGUAGCGAUCGAGGGAAGUUAGUACCGAAGUCCGGGAUGGAAGAUGGCAAGAAAAGCUGUGUGUAUUUCUGCGGUGCCCGUACCGCAAGCCGACACAGGUAGGUAGGAAGAAGAUUCUAAGGCCAACGGGAGAAGGGUUGUUAAGGAACUCGGCAAAUUGACCCCGUAACUUCGGGAGAAGGGGUGCUGCAGCAAUGCAGCCGCAGAGAAUCGGCCCAAGCAACUGUUUACCAAAAACACAGGUUUGUGCUAAAUCGAAAGAUGACGUAUACGAGCUGACGCCUGCCCGGUGCUGGAAGGUUAAGAGGAGAUGUGCAAGCAUUGAAUCGAAGCCCCAGUGAACGGCGGCCGUAACGAUAACGGUCCUAAGGUAGCGAAAUUCCUUGUCAGGUAAGUUCUGACCCGCAUGAAAGGCGUAAUGAUUUGGGCACUGUCUCAACAGCCCGCCCGGCGAAAUUGUAGUACCGGUGAAGAUGCCGGUUACCCGCGACAAGACGGAAAGACCCCAUGGAGCUUUACUGUAGCCUAAUAUUGGGUUUCGAUGAUGCAUGCACAGGAUAGAUGGGACACAGGGAAGCAGGUGCUUUGGCGCUUGUGGAGUGGCCGUUGGGAUACCAUCCUUGCGAUAUUGGAAUUCUAACCUGCGCCUUUGAAUCAAGGCGGGGGACAUUGUUAGGUGGGCAGUUUGACUGGGGCGGUCGCCUCCUAAAGAGUAACGGAGGCGUUCAAAGGUUCGCUCAGCUUGAACGGAAAUCAAGCAAAAGAGUGCAAACGCAGAAGCGAGCCUAACUGCGAGACUGACGGGUCGAGCAGUAACGAAAGUUGGAGUUAGUGAUCCGGUGGUAUGUGAGUGGAAAUGCCAUCGCUCAACGGAUAAAAGUUACCCUGGGGAUAACAGGCUGAUCUCCCCCAAGAGUCCACAUCGACGGGGAGGUUUGGCACCUUGAUGUCGGCUCAUCGCAUCCUGGGGCUGUAUUCGGUCCCAAGGGUUUGGCUGUUCGCCAAUUAAAGCGGUACGCGAGCUGGGUUCAGAACGUCGUGAGACAGUUCGGUCCCUAUCUGUCGUGGGCGCAGGAUAUUUGAUGGGAGCUGUUCCUAGUACGAGAGGACCGGAGCGGACGUACCUCUGGCGCACCAGUUGUUCUGCCAAGAGCAUAGCUGGGCAACUAUGUACGGAUCGGAUAAACGCUGAAAGCAUCUAAGCGUGAAGCCGACCCAAAGAUAAGAUAUCCCAUUGUUUUAAACAAGUAAGACCCCUUGAAGACUACAAGGUUGAUAGGCACGAUGUGUAAGUGGAGCGAUCCAUUCAGCAAGCGUGUACUAAUAGGCCGAGGGCUUGACCG